rnacentral:lncRNA from 1 species
UAGCUAAAUAUGGGCUAAGUUAAAGAAAAACUGUACAAAAUAGAGUACGACGGGCACUCUGACUGGUCAAAGUCUUGUGACCAAAAAUGCACUUUACUCUGUUUUGAUUAUUGAGACAUUUAUUUCAGCUAAAGCUCACCGCUUAAAAUUUUGGCACCGAUUUUCUAACCAGUGUUUUCUUUUUUACCAAUGGCUUGAUAAUCUGAUAUGCUCAUUUGAAUUGCAGAGAAAGAUGGAGAAAUCAAAGACAGGCAUCUUCUCUGUGUACCUAAAGCUGUAUCCGGGUAAAUAUGAGGUAAGUUGAUUUCCGGGCAUCAACAAUUUUUUAUGCGUUGUCCAUUGAAUUAUGUAUGCUUAAAUGCCUCCUAUAAUAUUUAACAGAUCAAGUUUAUUGUUGAUGGCAUAUGGAAAGUUGAUCCUCUACGCCCCAUUGUCCACAAUAAUGGCUAUGAAAAUAACCUUCUGAUUAUCACAUGAAGGCACAAAAUUAUGCAGGCAGUAGCACGAGAAGGAUGAUCAUUUUACAAACCUUUAGUUUGCAUCAUGUAUUUUACUAAUUAUAAUUCUUUUGACAUCACCCUAUUUCUGUUCUUUGUAUAGUGUAUAUUGGCCGUGAUGGAUCAAUUGUUAUUCUUAGACCAAACUCUCAUUUGGUCUGUCUGUUACUUAUUUUUGUCGGUAUGGAUGGGUCUUGUGGUUGGGUCUCUCUUUUGCACUUGUUUUUGUUUAUUGAAACGAAAUACAAACUUAGAAGGGGGCUUGAUCUUAUAUCCAGCACAAGGUGCAAUAAAAUAUUUUUUGUGGAGAUUACAUGUCAAUAGGUGUUUAAAGAUUACGAUUUGUAAAUCAACUAUGAAG